GCAGGGGGAGCAACAAGAGCCAAGUUCAUUGAGAAAUCAGUGAGAAUUUGAGCAAUGCACCUUUGACAACGCUCGGCCGCCGCCUUGCCAAUCAUAUUUUCCGGCAUUCCGUGAAAGGUCAAAGAGAUAUUGCUGCCCGCAGUAUUUCACGGAGUGGACAAUGGCGGUCACUGAGAUAAAAACGGGAGACGGAGGUCAAACGGAGGUGUGCCUUGUCAGGGUUGAUGAGUGGAAUGUCUCGCUUGAUCAAAGGGGUUGGGAGCAUCAGAAGGAGAAGGAAGCCGAGCGCUCCCAAGAGUCGCAGAGAAGGAGCUUGUGAUGUUUACUUCAUUUUCAGGCAAAUUAACAAGAAUGGGGUUUGUAUCGACCGGCCUCGAAGCACACCUGGAAGGGGAUUGGAUUACCCAGCUGGAGAUGAUCAUCCAAUCAACUGCCAUGCUAAUCAGCAGCACACAUUGUUGGAGUCGGACUUGCCGGUGAGCUGACACAGUUGCUGGACAUUGCCGGAGAGAAAAGGCCAAAAAAGACGGGAAAGUCACGGAGCAGAGAGCAAAGACUGAAAAGUUGUAGCGUGGAGUGCGGUCCUGGCGUGUGUGCACUCACAAAUAAAGAGGUUGAUGAAACCAGACCCCGGGCUACUGUGAGGAUCUGUC